AGUGAACGCUGGCGGUAGGCCUAACACAUGCAAGUCGAACGGCAGCACAGUAAGAGCUUGCUCCUACGGGUGGCGAGUGGCGGACGGGUGAGGAAUACAUCGGAAUCUACUUUUUCGUGGGGGAUAACGUAGGGAAACUUACGCUAAUACCGCAUACGACCUACGGGUGAAAGCAGGGGAUCUUCGGACCUUGCGCGAUUGAAUGAGCCGAUGUCGGAUUAGCUAGUUGGCGGGGUAAAGGCCCACCAAGGCGACGAUCCGUAGCUGGUCUGAGAGGAUGAUCAGCCACACUGGAACUGAGACACGGUCCAGACGCCUACGGGAGGCAGCAGUGGGGAAUAUGGGACAAUGGGCGCAAGCCUGAUCCAGCCAUACCGCGUGGGUGAAGAAGGCCUUCGGGUUGUAAAGCCCUUUUGUUGGGAAAGAAAAGCAGCAGGUUAAUACCCCGCUGUUCUGACGGUACCCAAAGAAUAAGCACCGGCUAACUUCGU
rnacentral:rRNA from 1 species